GGGAUUCAUCCUUCCAUUCACCACCCGCGCCAAAAUUCUAAUUCAGCAGUUGUGGAACAAACAGAGGGGUUGGGAUGAUCCCAUGUUGCCCACAGAUUUGGUGAAAGCCUGGUGUGAAUGGGAGAAUGAACUACCCAUUCUUUCUCAGGUCACACUUCCCCGAUGUUAUGUUACACCAGAUAUGGAUAGGCCCAAUACCACAAAACAAAUUCAUAUCUUCUGUGAUGCUUCAGAGCAAGCAUACGGUGCCGUAGCAUACCUGAGAACUGAAGAUCAAGAAGGUAGAAUACAGCUUGCUUUUCUGAUUGGCAGAUCCAAAAUUGCCCCUAAACGUAAACAAACCAUUCCUAGACUAGAGCUAUGUGCAGCCCUAAUCGGUGCCCAACUAUCGAAGCUGCUUGAAAAUGAACUCACUCUUAAGAUCAGCCGAGUGAUCUUAUGGUCAGAUUCAACUACAGUUCUUUCAUGGCUAAGAUCUGAAUCUUGCAGUUUUAAAGUUUUUGUAGGCACUAGAAUAGCAGAAAUCCAAGAUCUAACUGAGUCACACGAUUGGCGAUAUGUAGAUACAGCCAGAAACCCAGCCGAUGAUCUAACAAAGGGGCGUAGCUUAGUAGAACUUGUUACACCUAACAGGUGGAGUUUAGGUCCACCCUUUUUACUUAAAGCAGAAUCAGAGUGGCCAACCCUGCCACCUCUUAAGACCCCUGAAGAUAAAGUGGAAAGGAGAGCUAGUAUAUUCUGUGGUGUCACCCAAACAUUAAAGCCCUUAGACCCUAGUAAGUACCACUCUUGGAAAGAUCUUGUUGAAGCCAUAGUUCAACAACACCCAAGUGACUUAGAUCAAUCUAGUAUACCUACAGCUAAGGACUAUGUGACAGCAGAACAUCUCCUCUUCCGCAAUAUUCAACAAGAUAGUUUCCCAGAAGAAUACGAGCAACUAAGCUCUGGUAAGCCCGUAUCCCCUACAAGUAGAUUACUCACUUUAGCCCCAGAACUCGAUAAAGCCAGUCAGCUUAUACGGGUAGGAGGACGCCUACGUCGUGCUGAAGGCUUAGAACUCCAAACAGUUCACCCUAUUGUCCUAGACCCUCAUCAUCAAGCCACCAAAUUACUCAUUCAAGACUAUGAUAGUAAGCUAUGUCACCCAGGACCAGAACGAGUAUUUGCUGAAAUGAGGAGAAGUGUCUGGAUACUUAGAGGUCGUGAAGCAAUUCGAAAAUCCCAACAUAACUGUAUGGAGUGUCGUAAGUGGAAGGCUAAACCUGAGAACCCUAAGAUGGCUGAUCUUCCUCCAGCACGCUUGAGACUUCAUAAACCACCCUUUUAUAGUACUGGUAUGGAUUGUUUUGGACCUUUCCAAACCAAAAUAGGCAGGCGUUUAGAGAAAAGAUGGGGAAUAAUCUUUAAGUGUCUUACAACUCGAUGUGUACACAUUGAGCUUCUCACAGCUAUAGACACAGAUUCUUUCCUCAUGGCUCUGAGGAGAUUUAUAGCACGUAGAGGCACCCCCUCAGAACUGAUAUCUGACCAAGGCACUAACUUCCAGGGUGGACAGAGAGAGUUAAAAGAUGCUUUAAAGAAUUGCAGCCAAGAACUUCAACGGCAUCUUGCCAAACAGAAGAUCGAAUUCCGAUUUAACCCACCUAAUGCCCCUCACUUUGGUGGCAGCUGGGAAAGGGAGAUCCGAUCUCUUAAAAAUGCCCUCCGUACAGUAGUAGGUGCGCAAACAGUAACAGAAGAAGUUCUUCAAACAGUACUUAUUGAAAUAGAAGGAAUCCUUAAUAGCAAACCUUUAGGUUAUGUCUCCUCCAAUGUAGCAGAUUUAGACCCAAUCACCCCAAAUCUUCUGCUCAUGGGGCGGCUAGACAGCUCUUUACCUCAAGUGAUAUACCCUGCCGAUGAACUCAUAGGACGACGUAGAUGGAGACAAAGUCAAGUUCUCACUGAUCACUUUUGGUCAAGCUUCGUGAGACACUACUUACCCAAUCUCCAGCUACGCCACAAAUGGUAUGGAGAAACUAAAAUUCUUACAGUUGGGUCUGUCGUCAUGAUCGUUGAUCCUCAGUUACCACGAGCCCUUUGGUUGAUCGGGAGAGUGUCAAAGACAUUCCCUGGAGCAGAUGGACAAGUUAGGUCUGCAGAGGUCAACGUUAAAGGUCGAUUAUACACACGGCCAGUUACCCGACUCAUUAAUCUACCAGAGAUAGCAGUUGAAGACGACACCAAGAUCAAAUCGGCAGACUUUUAGCUAAGAUUUAGAAGCAAAUAUGCUAUGCAUAUUUGGGGGCGGCAGUGUUAGAAAGGAUUCCUAUUUAGUUGUAAUUCCAUGCUUCACCACUAGAGGCAGAUAUACAGCUUACUAAGCAAUGACAAGCUAUCUGUGACAUCACAGUACACCGUCCUCCACCAAGAGUAUAAAAGACCAGAACACGGAGCUGCAGGAGGCAGUCUGCAUCACGCAACCUACCGAACAGAAGCUAGCAGAAGACAGCAAGAAUCACCUCAUAUGCAAUCAAUUCUAUACUCAGUAAACUGCUCCCAUUAGGGGUCGCCACAGCAGAUCAUC